UACAGAGGGUGCGAGCGUUAAUCGGAAUUACUGGGCGUAAAGCGUGCGUAGACGGUCAAGUAAGUCGGGUGUGAAAGCCCCGGGCUCAACCUGGGAAUUGCAUUCGAGACUGCGUAGCUAGGGUGCGGAAGAGGGAAGCGGAAUUUCCGGUGUAGCGGUGAAAUGCGUAGAUAUCGGAAGGAACACCAGUGGCGAAAGCGGCUUCCUGGUCCAGCACCGACGUCAGGCACGAAAGCGUGGGGAGCAAACAGG
rnacentral:rRNA from 1 species